rnacentral:lncRNA from 1 species
CCACUGGGUAUAUUAAGCAGUAAUACAUAGAAUUUUCCUUUUAUCAUUGGAAACAACAACAACAGGAAAAAAUGGAUGCCGCCUCUCUGAGCUAAUUGCUUAGCAACAUUUGUUAGGGGGUGUGUGUAGAUUUAAAUUGUAGCACGUAUUCAGGGUCAGGAAAGAGAAUGUAGGGGGAUGAGGAACAAAUUAUCCAGUGUGUAAGUGAGUCAGCAGAAAGCGCCAGGCCCAAGCAGACAAAGCCUCUGGGUUAAUUCCCAGAACUAGCUGAGGCCCAUUUAAUCUCUAGUGAUAGGAUGUUUUUCCUUAAAAGUCACUUUUUGGUUUUUUUGUUGCUUUUUCCAGAUAAAGCCUUAGUUAGUAGCCUCUAAAUAUCAACUAUGCAGAUAAACACACAGAUUUUCCACACGUUUUCUUUUUGCCAUUCUUUAAAUGACAGAUGUUAAUUAAGACUUCUACCCAAAGAAAUAAGGCAUAAGGGUUUUGUUGAAUGUGUGUUUGUUCCUCUAGGGAAAAUUAAUGGAAACAUAAAAAUAGAGAUAUUUUGUGUGUUCAUCUAUCCUAAAAUGUGAACUUUAUAUUCAAAAACUAAGUGCAGAUACUGGUGCAAACUGUAGUUAGAAUCAUGGAAUGUCUUUGGGUUGUUAAGAUAAAACCAUCCCAGUGUUCAAUUCUGAGAAAGUUUUAGAUUCUGUGGCACAGUGUUCAGGUUUGUGGAGCUAAACAGAUGGUCAGACUAUAAUUAAAAAGCUUUGAAUAUUAAUGUCAAAUUCUUUCUUCAUUUUCUUUAGUCUUCAUUCUUCUUUCCUCUAGUCUGAGCUCUUCAGUUAACCAUUCCAUCAACCAAUUGCUACACUAGAAUAUAAGUUGCUAAGAGUCAGGGGAGGAAAGGUUAAACUGUCUUUCACCUCCUUUUCUCACUCACGUUGACCAUCUAUGCUGUGUUCCCACUGAAUUCAAAAGUAAAGACUAUAGGCAUUUCUAGGAGACGGUUUACAUCCCAGCACAGACUCAGACAGGGACUGGUAGGAUUUUAAUCAGACUGCUUUUGAAUAACUUAGUAUUAAAUUACAUUUUUCUCAGAUACUCCCAAAGUACCGUUUGCUUGAAAGUAACUAUUUGUGAUCUUUAUUUAAUUUCCUCAUACUGUAAUACUUCUUUUUUCCAGCCUUUCUUACAUAUGUACAUUUUAGAUCGGGUUAGUACUUAAAUUUUGGACACUUUUCCGAACUGUUACCCAAACAGGUCAAGAAUACUUUUAAAAAUCUCAGUAGUAAAAUCAAAGGGGUCUAUAUGUCCAGAACUUAGAGUCAUCACUGGUGACCUGAAUUAUUUUUCUCUUCUUUGUGUUAAAAAUAGAUUUCUCUACUAUAUAAUGUAGUAGCAGCUACAUUGCAUGGCUUCCUCAAUACUCUUCAAGAUUAUUCAGAAGAGACACAGACCUUUUUUAGGCCUCUUAUUUCACAUAAUACUCUGCCUUGCUUAUUUUCAUUACUUCCCCUGGAAUAAACCUACUUUGCAAAGGUCUGAGUCAGAGAGGCCAUAUGAAUCCUUAGUACCAAUUUUAUGUUCCUCAGAAAACUCUCUAUACAUUAUUUACUCCCAUUUGCCAAUAAUAAUAUAAUUCUAUUUUAAUCUAGUUUUAAAAUAUUUUGUAAUAAAGCACUAAUGGAAACCUAAUUGAAAUACAAACAAGAUGAUUAUUACCUAAGAUAACUUGGAAAUACUUCUGUUUUUGAAGUUAACAGCUCCAUCUACCCUCUAAGCACAUUUAGGAGUCAGCAGUAACCAAGACCAGCCAAGUGGCAUGUUUUUCUAUGUGACAACCUGCCCUUUAUUUGUCACAUCUCAGCUAUAUUAUAUUUUCUGUCCUUGCGGCCAUAAACUUCCCUUUUUUUGCUUCUCUAUUCUGUUUGCAGGGGUAGUGUGCCCUGUGCCCGCAUAUUGGGUUUUCUUUCCUGUACCUGUGAAAUUACCAAGAAUUACCCCAAUUUUGGCCAGAGGCAUUAAAAGAGAAGUUAUUCUCAGUUGAUAAAUGUAUUACUGUUUUAUAUAGGUAGUCGGAAAGUUGACCAAGUUUGGCCAACUUUUAAAAUCCUGGCUAUGUUACAUAAUUAAUUACAUAUACCUUCUGAGACCUUCAGAUAAGCAAGGGGCCCUUUCACCAGUAGAGGUAGGUUUCCAACCUAUACGUAAUUUCCUGGCCAGCCUCCAGAGAAAGGAUUCAAGCUUUGUACUGUUCUUUUGUUGGCUGUCAUUGAAAAACUAUAUUAUAGAAUGUAUCAAAAAUAUCUAAUUGUUCUUAAGAAGAGUAUAUAAAUCUGGAGCUUGCCCUUGUUUGUUGCUUGCUAAACAUUGUAAAGCUUAAAAGAAAAGGAAAGGAAAUCUCUGGCUGGUGAAAAUUUUGUGCCCCAAAUAAUGUGUUAAUCAAAGUUAUCUACCACGGUAACCAAGUGAUGAGUGUUUUCUCUUUUAUUACAAGCAAGAAAAUUUAUUUGCAGUUGUAAAACUUAUUGUGGGACUGCAGGCCUAUUUACUAUAAAUGAUUGGAAAUAAGGAUUCUGAUUUUUAGUCUGGGUUAAGCACAUAUUUCCAACCCUUGCGGUAUGAAUUUUCAUAAAGGAAAGACUUUUGUUUGGUAACAGAAGGAAAAACAGGACUUAUUUAUACAGUGAAUGUUCACUCUGUAGAGGAGCUUCCCUCCAGUUACACAUCAUGUUCUUACUUUAGCCGCCUCCACGCUUGAUAUAGAUGUCAACAUGUUUUACAAUGAGUCUUGAAGGAAGGAGCCUACAUAAUUGUUGCUCCUCCGGGUGAAAGGCCCUGGUUACUGUACUGCAUUUGUUUGUAGGGAGGUGUGUUUUUGCUAACUUGAAGGGAUAUACUGUAUUUUAAAUAAGUGUGUGACUUAAUAUUUUGGGAUUUUUUUUCCUCCUUUAAAACUGGACCUGAACACAGCUUUGAGUUGAUAUUUGUAAUAAUCUCAGGACCUGAAAGAUUGUAGCAUUUAGUGUGUCUUAAAAAUUAUGUACUGUACCAGCCAUGGAUUUUUGUAAAUAUACCUGUCUCCCUUUUUUGUAUUAUUUUAGUAAAAAAAAUAAUAAUAAAUUUAAAUACAAUGGGGUGGUGACGACAUGUGGAUGGGUGUGGGUAUGUAUGUGUGUGUGUUUGUAUAAGGCUCUUUUGAGAUGAACUGGUGCUUGUUUAAUUUCCGGCUCUAAUGAGAGCAGGAAUAUGGACAAACUGCUGCUACUGAACCCUGCACUGAGCCUAGCUGUUUCCAUUGCAUUUCCUAGUGAUUGACCAGGAAAUGACUAAGUUAAAUUCUUCUUCCCACUGCCAUCUUGCCUUUGAAUUCUCAGUUCUACACACUUUUUGAACUUCAGUGGUAAAUCUUUCCAAACUUUGGGUGGUUUGCUGGUCUGUAGUUUUUAAAGAGCUCUUGUCACUAUUUUCUAAGAAGAAAGAAAGGUAAAUUUUUGUAACCAAAAAAAAAAUCACAUUUCAUAAAAUCCUGAUGAAUUUUGGACAUGUGAGAGGACUUGAACAUUCCUAAAUGUGGAUCUGUGAAUUUAGUAAAUUGACCCCAUUGAUAUACUCUUUCGGUGCAGGGAUUUCUUUUUUUUUUUUUUCGUAACAGCCUUGCUCAUAUUCCAGGUGUAGCUAAGCAAACCCCUGUUUUAAAGCAGGAGCCUUAUUUGAUUCAGUGUAGAUGUUUUCCUGUCUAUCCUUUGUGACAGGGCCUUUUACAUGAGUGUUUUUUCUUUUUGUAUGUGUUAUGUGUUGUAUUAAAUAAAGAGGAAUGUACAUAUU